rnacentral:lncRNA from 1 species
AUAGCUAUAUGGGAGGUGGUUUUGGAUUGAUUUGCGAUCAUAUGAAUAAUAGCAAAAAGGAUAAAUCUUUCACCUCUAUUUAAUUGAUCUCCACUUGGGCACAUCGGUACCAAUGAAGUUAUCGACGGAAAGCGAGCAUUCUUCAGGACUCUAUUGAAAUAUUCAGAUAAAUUAGUGGUCAUCAUUCCAAAUUUUCGACCACCAUCAUGUGCAAGAGACCAUCUAUCUACAGAAAUUUCAAUCAAAUAUUGAAAGGCUUUCGAGUUCAUUUUUUCAAUCUUGCUUAUAUACUUGUCGAACUUCCUAAGUUGUGUUUG